UAUUCCAGGCAGGGACACACAUGGGCUCCUUACGAUGGGACCCUCCCUGGCCGCAGGCUGACGCCUUCCCAGUGACGCACCGCAGCUGUAGAAGAUAACCCGCACGGGACACAGCUCCCAAAAAUGUGCCUUCGACACCUCCCAGGGUUGGCAGCAUCAGCAAUAGUGCACUAGAAGGUCUUGACCUUGUUUAUUCACAUGAGAACAAAUCGAGCUUUCGCAUCCCAUGGCCCGGUUUCUAACUCACGUGUUUGGCGAGGAUGAGACGAUUAAACCCAACUCGCUUGCAAAAUAAUAAUGCAAAUCCUCUUAGCUGAGCGGGUGUUUUCUUGCCUGUAUUCUGGCCUGAAACAUCUUUCCCUCUGAAAUAUUUUUGUGGAAUCAACAAUCCAAGGAACUUGUCAUGUUAAAAAUAGAGGAAGCUUGAACAAAGCCUCUGGGACUUGAUUUCUCACAAAGCUGAGCCUGUUUGGGAGCUUGCAUUAUUCUGCUAAGGAUUUAUUAGGUCAUCUGUUGCUCAAAAAAA